UACGUAGGGCGCAAGCGUUGUCCGGAAUUAUUGGGCGUAAAGAGCUCGUAGGCGGCUUGUCACGUCGGGUGUGAAAGCCCGGGGCUUAACCCCGGGUCUGCAUUCGAUACGGGCAGGCUAGAGUGUGGUAGGGGAGAUCGGAAUUCCUGGUGUAGCGGUGAAAUGCGCAGAUAUCAGGAGGAACACCAAUGGCGAAGGCAGCUCGCUGGGACGGUACUGACGCUGAGGCGCGAAAGCGUGGGGAGCAAACAGG
rnacentral:rRNA from 1 species